rnacentral:lncRNA from 1 species
UAAUAUAAAUGAAAUAACCAUUCGAACUUAAAUCGUCUGAGCAUAAAUUACAAUUAACCGUAGCAUGCGUGCGCAUCGCAUGAGCGCACGCACGUGCAACUUACGGUAUUAAAUUCAUUUCUGUAUUUUAUCGAAACGUGAAGAGUAAUGCGUUAGAACAGGAAUGCAGCUUAUUAUAAUAUAUAUUUGCAUGUGAAAGAAGAUUAUCAAUUUCUUAUUUGCUAUUUCUUAUCAAGUUAGCUUAUGUUUCGCUAUGAUUAUUCAGAAGAAUAAAAAGGAUGUGAAUUUAAUAUUGUAAUCCAUGUAUAUAAGUGAACGUUAUUUACCAUGUGUCAACUUUGUUCUUACCGAUGGAUUGGGUGUUGUAUAUCAACUUGUAGCAAUUACCGUCUGCCCGACGGUUAAUUAAGGAUUGGGGCAAUGAGGCCCAGCAAUGCAGUUUCCGUGAUAAUAAUUAUCUGCGAUAGUAAUUGAAUAGGUUGUUACGCCGUCGAGCAAAUCGAGACAUCAAAGAACCUAGAAUAAAAAAGAAUCAAGAAAUUUUUGAUAUUUUAUUUAUGAUUACUCGUCUAUUUUUUAUUUGUAUGUUUCUGAAACAUCGUAAGAUGAAUAAUUCUGGUAGCAAAGUUAGUAAGAAAGGAACGCUUGGUGAGGCGAGCGAGCCUGCAGGCAAAACGGCUGGACGAGAUCAUGUGGAUGUAUGUGAACGUGAACAAGUAAUACGUUCAUAGACGAAGAAAAGAAACUUGAUGGUCAGUUUCAGUUGUUUAUUCAGCUCUGGGCCACUGGCAGUACAUAUAACACUGCAACAAAAAUGAAGGGUAGAAAGCUCGAUUCGCCGAGGCAUGACCAACAGAGUACUGCAAAAGCUCAUACAUAUGUAGACGACUCGGACAUCAGGAACCAUGGGGAGGACCCUCCGGAAAAAUGAAUAUGCAGCCCCAUAAAAGUUUGUUCAUUCGUUCAUUCAUAAUGUCGCCAAGGACGAGACUUCUCUGGCUUGUAGAUUGUCAAGGUAGAAGGGACGAGUAGCAACCCUUCAUCGAAGGAGGUGGCGAAGGAAGAAAGAAGAAAGAGGUGAAGCUAGGAGGGGAAGGGAAAGGAAAGAACGAGGCUGAAUGCGGUGACUGUGACGCUUUCCGGUCAGGUGCCGCCCUGACGAUCCUUCUCCUACCAACUUCCACUUGGAUCCACUCAUUCACUUACUUUUACCCUCCUUCAUUUCUUCCUUCUACAACAUCCUACUCGAUGAAGAAAAAAAAAGAAAAGAAAAUAGAAUGCACACAGAAGAAAAUUAUAUUCCUUUUUAAGUCAAGAUCAUGAGAUUUGAAGAAAAGAAGAAAUGGAAU